GAGUUUGAUCAUGGCUCAGAACGUACGCUGGCGGCACGCCUAACACAUGCAAGUCGAACGAAGUAGCAAUACUUAGUGGCAGACGGGUGAGUAACAUGUAGGUAUCUGCCCUUUGGCCUGGAAUAACACGAGGAAACUUGUGCUAAUACCGGAUAAGUCUUUACGGAGAAAGCUUUAUGCACCAUUGGAUGAGCCUGCACUUGAUUAGUCUGUUGGCGGGGUAAUGGCCUACCAAGACUGUGAUCAAUAGCUGAUUUGAGAGGAUGAUCAGCCACAUUGGGACUGAGACACGGCCCAAACUCCUACGGGAGGCAGCAGUGGGGAAUCUUGCACAAUGGAGGAAACUCUGAUGCAGCGAUGCCGCGUGAGUGAAGAGGGCCCUUGGGUUGUAAAGCUCUUUCGUCGGGGAAGAAAAUGACUGUACCCGAAUAAGAAGGUCCGGCUAACUUCGUGCCAGCAGCCGCGGUAAUACGAAGGGACCUAGCGUAGUUCGGAAUUACUGGGCUUAAAGAGUUCGUAGGUGGUUGAAAAAGUUAGUGGUGAAAUCCCAGAGCUUAACUCUGGAACUGCCAUUAAAACUUUUCAGCUAGAGUAUGAUAGAGGAAAGCAGAAUUUCUAGUGUAGAGGUGAAAUUCGUAGAUAUUAGAAAGAAUACCAAUUGCGAAGGCAGCUUUCUGGAUCAUUACUGACACUGAGGAACGAAAGCAUGGGUAGCGAAGAGGAUUAGAUACCCUCGUAGUCCAUGCCGUAAACGAUGUGUGUUAGACGUUGGAAAUUUAUUUUCAGUGUCGCAGCGAAAGCGAUAAACACACCGCCUGGGGAGUACGACCGCAAGGUUAAAACUCAAAUGAAUUGACGGGGACCCGCACAAGUAGUGGAGCAUGUGGUUUAAUUCGAAGAUACGCGCAGAACCUUACCAACACUUGACAUGUUCGUCGCGACUCUAAGAGAUUAGAGUUUUCGGUUCGGCCGGACGAAACACAGGUGCUGCAUGGCUGUCGUCAGCUCGUGUCGUGAGAUGUUGGGUUAAGUCCCGCAACGAGCGCAACCCUCACUUUUAGUUGCCAUCAUUAAGUUGGGCACUCUGAAAGAACUGCCAGUGAUAAGCUGGAGGAAGGUGGGGAUGACGUCAAGUCCUCAUGGCCCUUACGUGUUGGGCUACACACGUGCUACAAUGGUAUCUACAACAGGAAGCAAGACUGCGAAGUUAAGCAAAUCCCUAAAAGAUACCUCAGUUCGGAUUGCACUCUGCAACUCGAGUGCAUGAAGCUGGAAUUACUAGUAAUCGUGGAUCAGCGUGCCACGGUGAAUGCGUUCCCGGGUCUUGUACACACCGCCCGUCACACCAUGGGAGUUGGUUCUACCUUAAGGCAAGGUUUUAAACCCUUGACCACGGUAUAGUCAGCGACUGGGGUGAAGUCGUAACAAGGUAACC
rnacentral:rRNA from 1 species